GCUGGGCGCUGUGGCCCACACCUGUAAUCCCAGCAGCUCAGGAGGCUGAGGCAGGAGGAUUGCAAGUCAGAGGCCAGCCUCAGCAAUUUAGCAAGGACCUGAGCAACUUAGCGAGACCCUGUCUCUA
rnacentral:sRNA from 1 species